CGCUGGGCUGCCGCCGCCUUGCUCCCAGCGCUGGUGCUGCUUGCGAAGAAAUCGCCACCGGGAAAGGUUGGAUUUUUCCCGUCCUAGACAUCGCCGCCGCCUUGCUUCUGUCCUGGCGUAAAUGUCCGCGCCCGCCGCCGUCUCUGACUCUCCCUAGUCCCCCGCCCGAACCAAACUCAGAGCCGGAGAGUUGAACGGGAGGAGCCGCCGCAUCAGCUUGUUCGCCAUGUUGUCCAGGGGGAUCGCGCGCGGCCGCCUCGCCGAGGAGCGAAAGGCCCGACGGAAGAACCACCACCACGGUUUCGUCGCCAAGCCGGAGACGGUGACCGACGGCACGGUGAACCUCAUCCGGAAAGCAAGCGUCCCGCGCCUCGCCGAUCGAUUGGUUGAUUGAUUGGUAGUCUCGAAUCCCCGGGAACACCCACCUACUGCUCCGCUCGCUUGAUUUUGAUGCACUUUGCUUUCGAUCCUGGUUAAGCUGCUUUGGUGUGGACCUUGUGAAGCUGCUCAAAAGGUUAUGAUUGUCCAUCUAAUGGGACCGUAGGCGAAUGGGGAAACUUGCAAUCUUGGCUGCUGUGGAACGGCUACCACGAGCACGACACCGCUGCCGACAGCAAGGCUCCCUGGACCUGGUUCAUGAAUCAAUGGAAUUAUCGGGGCAGAUGACUGAACAACAACUCAAUGGCUCAAGUAAUAUCUGUUGUGAUGGAACGAAGAUUUCCUCAAGUAGUGAUAAAUGCCAACAAAGGCCAACUCUUCCAAGCAAGCCACAGCCAGCAGCUAACACUCAGAGAACCAAUGCUUCCAGCAAAACAGCAGCAGGCAACAAGAAACCUGGAAAAAGGUCUAUCUGGUACUUCCCUCUUCUCGAAAAAGUCGCGCCUUAGCAGCAAGCCAUGAAGUUCGCCAAGGAGUACCAGAAGCAUAUGACCGGCAUGGAGGAAGAUCUGCAUGCUCUGGGGCUGGAGCGCCUCAAAGAAAUGAUCAAGAAAUACCUGCUCCCCACAGGGCCUCGGCGACGAGAGAGACGUCGCCGUCCCAGGAGGUGUUGGCACAAGGAGCAGUCAAGAACUUGGUUGAACAUUUUUCCCUUAUUUUGGACAAUCAAAUCGGGGAUGAACUCAACCUAAGUGGAUCUUGGCAUUGGAUUCACAUUUCAUUUUGCGCCGAGUCAUCUAAAUCGGGCCGGAGGGAGUAGAAAAAGUACAGCUUGGUGGAGGAGAGGGAGGGAGGUGGCCAUGGAGGAAUGGAAGUGGA